UUCCUCCCUUGCAACACGCUGCAGGGCCAAUCCGCUCGCACACCCCGUGUAGGGUUACAAUGACAAGGGCCCUGUCUGAACCACGACUUUUAGAAAGAUAAUAUUACAGGCCCACAGCUGAUCCAUCUCCCAGUGCACAAUUGAGACAGAGGAGGUUAAAGCACUCUGAACGCACGGGACCAUAUUGCAGCUGGAGAUGCUCGAUGGCUUCAUAAACAAAGAGGCAGUAAACAUAAACAGCAAGAGAAGGCAUUAAAGCGCCUCCCAGCACUCCUCCAUGUUCUCCUCCAUCUGCCUCCUGUCCAUUGAUCAGCCUUCCAGGGCAUCAGUCUGUUUAACAUCUGCUACAAGUUCCAGCAGCUCAGAUGCGCAGAGACUGUAAUGAAGAGCUCUUGAACUCGCAGUCAGAGAAGCUGUGACAGGAGUUCAGGAGGAUGCCUCUUUGGCUCUGCUGGACGUACGACACACACACACAC